UUCUCUUGAAAAAUAAAACCGCCGCUUCUCAACAAGAAACCCCUACUCUUAUAAGUCUUAUCAUUCUAAUCUUGACAUCUUCUCUUUUUCUUUUUAAAUCCUUCAAAAAUGCAUAGAAAAUCAUGGAGUUUGGUCUCAGAUUUACUUUUUCCUGGUGUAUUACGAUGCAGUGUUGUUCUUAUUUAUCGUCUUUUCAAUUUCGUUUCUUGUUCAGAUCGAUAAUUCCGAGAUUGUAGGUGAAAGUAUGGCUAUCUCUCAUACCAUGGUCCUUGGGCCCAUGGUCAACUUUUCCCCUGUGGUUAUAGUGGCUUUGGGGAGUGCUAGACUGCUGGUCAUCAUGACUUGGUGGGUUUGAGUAAAAUAGAAUAUACCCAAUGGAUCAGAUCAGGUAUGAAUUUGUCUUUGCCUACAAUUUUUCCACCAAUUGCCUUACUAAUAUUAAAGAUUUCCGCCAAGUUUUAUGUUUAAAGUCUAUUUCAUGCUCUCAAUAUAAUAUAUAUCUCAAGCCUAACCUUGUCUAUCUCAUAAAUUUAUAGAUCUUCGGGGGUCAUAAGUUUAUUCAUCAGGUUUAUUAUAGAUCAGGCUGACCUCUCCAUUUGUAGAAUCAGAGAUUUUUUGUCACUUCAGGUUUUUAUUCUUUCAGCUUUCAAUUUGCAUCAAUUUUUCCCCUUCUUUUAGCAGUUUUGAUUUUAUUUAUUGGUUAUGAAUUACAUAGUAUUAAUUUUUAGUAAUACUUCAACGAAAAUGAGAGAGGGAUCCUUCAAAUCAAACUCCCUUUUAAGUUCUCUUUAGUUUGGAUUUCAGGACUGGUGAACCCAGAAGAGAUUAAGCAUGAAUUAAACUAUGCUAUUGGCUUGAGAUUGGAAAAGGAAAUGUAGGUGCAACAAGAUAAUAGGCCGGGACACUUGAGCAUCAAAACAAGCGACUAUAUCAUCUACAAGGCCAUCAUCUAUCUAUUUUGGCUUUUAGGCUUAUAUUAGAGAUGUAUUUAUUUAGGGACAAGCUACUAUGAUAUGCAACUUUUUUUUUUUUUUUUACUUAAUUGUGUUGAUGUUUUCUUUUAUAAAUUUGGUAAUUAA